GGCAAAUUCAUAUAUGGUGCAUUGCUUGGUGGACUUGCAAGCUUAUGUAAAAGACAUUUCAAGAUAAAGGAGGAAUUCAAGAGUUCAACCACUGUAAGCCUUGAAUGGCUACACUUGACCCCAAAACUGAUGGACGUCAUUUUUUCAAGGGGAGGAGCUAAAGGAGUGAGAAUCAGGCAGAUCAAGUACAUGCUUCUUGAGCACAAUUCAACUGAAAUACACAGAGAAGUAGCCAUCUGCUGCCUUAUCACAUACCUUGGAGAGAAGGAAGAGGACCUUUUCAUGGAGUUUGGUGACAAUUUAAGGCCAACCUUGAAAGGCAGGUGAUGAAAACUGCCAUCAUCGGUGACCGGUACACCCCUGGAUCUGACCAUAAGACUGCAACCAUUGUGGUGCGGGAACAAAAAUCCUGGAGGGCCAGAAUUUCCCAAGGUGCUGUGUGUUACUCAUGGGCAUAAUAUAUGCUCUCAAUCUGAGCUAAUGCAAGGAUCUGAAAUAUACUUUUGAAGUUUUUCAGAAGCUGUUCCUUGACCUUGAUGGAACCAGCAUUAUGUUAAAGAUGCUGACUCUGUUUCAAAAAUUGUUAACUGUUUUGAAUCCUGUAUGUGUAACAUUGAUCUUAAAGGUGUUUGCUGCAUUGUGUAAAAGAAAGAUGCAUGAUCUUGUAAAGUUUGGUAGGCACUGAAAGUUGACAUUUAUUGAA